rnacentral:rRNA from 1 species
GAUGAACGCUGGCGGCGUGCCUAAUACAUGCAAGUCGAGCGAACGGACGAGAAGCUUGCUUCUCUGAUGUUAGCGGCGGACGGGUGAGUAACACGUGGAUAACCUACCUAUAAGACUGGGAUAACUUCGGGAAACCGGAGCUAAUACCGGAUAAUAUUUUGAACCGCAUGGUUCAAUAGUGAAAGACGGUCUUGCUGUCACUUAUAGAUGGAUCCGCGCUGCAUUAGCUAGUUGGUAAGGUAACGGCUUACCAAGGCAACGAUGCAUAGCCGACCUGAGAGGGUGAUCGGCCACACUGGAACUGAGACACGGUCCAGACUCCUACGGGAGGCAGCAGUAGGGAAUCUUCGGCAAUGGGCGAAAGCCUGACGGAGCAACGCCGCGUGAGUGAUGAAGGUCUUCGGAUCGUAAAACUCUGUUAUUAGGGAAGAACAUAUGUGUAAGUAACUGUGCACAUCUUGACGGUACCUAAUCAGAAAGCCACGGCUAACUACGUG